UGCGAGGCUCUAAUGUAGACUGGUCAC
rnacentral:piRNA from 1 species